rnacentral:rRNA from 1 species
AUUGAACGCUGGCGGCAGGCCUAACACAUGCAAGUCGAGCGGAUGAAGGGAGCUUGCUCCUGGAUUCAGCGGCGGACGGGUGAGUAAUGCCUAGGAAUCUGCCUGGUAGUGGGGGAUAACGUCCGGAAACGGGCGCUAAUACCGCAUACGUCCUGAGGGAGAAAGUGGGGGAUCUUCGGACCUCACGCUAUCAGAUGAGCCUAGGUCGGAUUAGCUAGUUGGUGGGGUAAAGGCCUACCAAGGCGACGAUCCGUAACUGGUCUGAGAGGAUGAUCAGUCACACUGGAACUGAGACACGGUCCAGACUCCUACGGGAGGCAGCAGUGGGGAAUAUUGGACAAUGGUCGAAAGCCUGAUCCAGCCAUGCCGCGUGUGUGAAGAAGGUCUUCGGAUUGUAAAGCACUUUAAGUUGGGAGGAAGGGCAGUAAGUUAAUACCUUGCUGUUUUGACGUUACCAACAGAAUAAGCACCGGCUAACUUCGU